rnacentral:rRNA from 1 species
AGGGCGUACGGUGAAUGCCUUGGUGCCAACAGGCGAAGAAGGACGCGGCAAGCUGCGAAAAGCCUCGGGAAGCUGCAAGCAAGCGAUGAUCCGGGGAUAUCCGAAUGGGGUAACCUGAUCGAGGCAAUACUCGAUCGUUCAUACCUGAAUACAUAGGGUAUGAAACGCGAAACCCGCUGAAGUGAAACAUCUCAGUAAGCGGAGGAAAAGAAAGAGAAAUCGAUUCCGUAAGUAGUGGCGAGCGAAAGCGGAUGGAGCCCAAACCGAAGGUAUUCCUUCGGGGUUGUAGGACCACGUCAUAUUCGACCAUACUGGAUAGUAGAACAGCCUGGAAAGGCUGGCCGGAGAAGGUGAAAGCCCUGUAGACGAAAUCCAGAGUGGGAAUUAGUGGUAUCCUGAGUAAUACAUCACACGUGGAACGAUGUAUGAACCCGCGCGGACCACCGCGCAAGGCUAAAUACUAGUUGGCGACCGAUAGUGAACAAGUACCGCGAGGGAAAGGUGAAAAGAACCGCUGUGAGCGGAGUGAAAUAGAACCUGAAACCGUAUGUCUACAAAGUGUCAGAGCAGAGCAAUCUGCGAUGGCGUGCCUUUUGUUUAAUGAGUCUGCGAGUCAGUGUUUGUGGCAAGACUAAGGGCUUCCGGCCCGGAGUCGCAGCGAAAGCAAGUCCGAACAGGGCGCAAUAAGUCGCAGGUACUGGACCCGAAGCGGAGGUGACCUACCCUUGGCCAGGUUGAAGCAUGGGUAAAACCAUGUGGAGGACCGAACAGGUGAACGUUGAAAAGUUCUCUGAUGAGCUGAGGGUAGGAGUGAAAGGCUAAUCAAACCCCGUGAUAGCUGGUUCUCUUCGAAAUGCAUUUAGGUGCAGCGUCACGUGCUGAUGCGCGGGGGUAGAGCACUGACAAGGCUAGGGGGCACACCCGCUUACCAAACCUUAUCAAACUCCGAAUACCGUGCAAUGGAACGUGGCAGUGAGACAGUGGGGGAUAAGCUUCAUUGUCGAGAGGGAAACAACCCAGACCAGCAGCUAAGGUGCCUAAAUAACGCUCAGUGGAAAGGAUGUGGGAUUACACAGACAGUGAGGAUGUUGGCUUAGAAGCAGCCACCAUUUAAAAAAUGCGUAAUAGCUUACUCAUCGAGUGAUCCUGCGCCGAAAAUGAUUGGCGAUCAAGCGUUAUACCGAAGCUCUGGACUUUGCCGCAAGGCAGAGUGGUAGAAGAGCGUUGCAUGCGCGUCGAAGGGCGAUGGCGACUGACCCUGGAGCACAUGCAAGUGAGUAUGCAGACAUGAGUAACGUUAAGCCGGGUGAAAUCCCCGGCCGCCGUAAACCCGAGGUUUCCAGGGCAACGUGUUUCGUCCCUGGGUUAGCCGGGACCUAAGCCGAGGCCGAGAGGCGUAGGCGAUGGACAUCAGGUUAAUAAUCCUGAGCUCGCAACCCUUAAACUGGGGGGACGCAUGAGAAAAGAUGACUAGGUUAUUGAAUUCCGAGUUGAGUCUACGGACUCAGCGCAUCAUUGGAUCGAGUGCCAAGAAAAGCCCCAGCGUAUGCUAAGCGACCCGUACCGCAAACCGACACAGGUGGGUGGGUAGAAUAUACCAAGGCGUAAGAGUGAAACCUGGUUAAGGAACUCGGCAAAUUAGCCCCGUAACUUCGGAAGAAGGGGUGCCUGCAGCGAUGCAGGCCGCAGAGAAAUGGCCCAACCGACUGUUUAUCAAAAACACAGCACUCUGCAAAGACGCAAGUCGAAGUAUAGGGUGUGACACGUGACCAAUGCCGAAAGAUUAAGGCAAGGGGUUAGCCGCAAGGCGAAGCUCUAAACCCAAGUCCCGGUGAAUGUCGGCCGUAACUAUAACGGUCCUAAGGUAGCGAAAUUCCUUGUCGGGUAAGUUCCGACCUGCACGAAUCGUGAAACGAGUUGGGCACUGUCUCAACCAGGCGCUCAGUGAAAUUGUAGUGGCGGUGAAGAUGCCGCCUACCCGCAGAAGGACGGAAAGACCCUAUAGACCUUAACUGUAAGCUGUCAUUGUUUCUUCGGUUUUAAUGCUCAGAGUAAGUGGGAGACGCUGAAGACGCCCUUUAGGGGGCGUCCGAGUCAUCAAUGAGACACCACCCUUUGAAACUGGAGGAUCUAACCCUGAGCCGUGAAUCCGGCCAGAGGACCGUGUCAGCCGGUCAGUUUUACUGGGGCGGUAUCCUCCCAAAGAGUAACGGAGGAGCGCGAAGGUGGGCUCAGCCCGGUUGGCAACCGGGUGUCGAGUGC